GGAGCAAUCUCUUUGUUCACAUGGUCCACGGCCUUCUGGGUACCUAAAACAAGUGUAUAUAUUGAUGACUUGACUGUGUGUGUGUGUGUGUGUGUGUGUGUGUGUGUGUGUGUGUGUGUGUGUGUGUGUGUGUGUGUGUGUGUGUGUGUGUGUGUGUGUGUGAGACACAGGAAUCUCUGUCUACCCCAAAGACUUUAUAUGACCUUUACAAAGCCUUGCUGAACCCUGACCUUUGUGUUCAACAUUCUGCCCUUUGCAUGAGAGCAAUGACACUGUACUCCACUGUAACACACACACACACACACACACACACUAUACCUUUCAGUUCAUUAAAAAGAACUAAACGAGUUACAUUUGCAGUACAUCUAGAACGCAGGUGUAACUGAUCUAAGGUUUAGAAACAUGAUUUUUCUCAUAUUACGGAGGCGGCUAAAGCUAAUUCGGAUGUUGAACGUUUCGGGCGUUUACUCCUGCGUUUCACAGCGUCGCAGCACGUUCAGUCGUUCAGUCUCCGGUCACCAAUCACGGAUCAGAGUCUUAUCUCGCGCGCGGAGCGGCCCACGGACGUGCGGCGCGUGACCCUG